ACGGGUGAGUAACGUCUGGGAAACUGCCCGAUGGAGGGGGAUAACUACUGGAAACGGUAGCUAAUACCGCAUAACGUCGCAAGACCAAAGUGGGGGACCUUCGGGCCUCACACCAUCGGAUGUGCCCAGAUGGGAUUAGCUAGUAGGUGGGGUAAUGGCUCACCUAGGCGACGAUCCCUAGCUGGUCUGAGAGGAUGACCAGCCACACUGGAACUGAGACACGGUCCAGACUCCUACGGGAGGCAGCAGUGGGGAAUAUUGCACAAUGGGCGCAAGCCUGAUGCAGCCAUGCCGCGUGUAUGAAGAAGGCCUUCGGGUUGUAAAGUACUUUCAGCGGGGAGGAAGGCGGUGAAGUUAAUAGCUUCACCGAUUGACGUUACCCGCAGAAGAAGCACCGGCUAACUCCGUGCCAGCAGCCGCGGUAAUACGGAGGGUGCAAGCGUUAAUCGGAAUUACUGGGCGUAAAGCGCACGCAGGCGGUCUGUCAAGUCGGAUGUGAAAUCCCCGGGCUUAACCUGGGAACUGCAUUCGAAACUGGCAGGCUGGAGUCUUGUAGAGGGGGGUAGAAUUCCAGGUGUAGCGG
rnacentral:rRNA from 1 species